AGCAGCCGCGGUAAUUCCAGCUCCAGUAGCGUAUAUUAAAGUUGUUGCAGUUAAAAAGCUCGUAGUUGAAUUUCGGGAUCAAUUUAUUGGUCGUGCUAUUGUACGUACUGGUAUUAUUGAUUCCUACCUCCUGACGAACCAUGAUGUCAUUAAUUUGGUGUCUUGGGGAAUCAGGACUGUUACUUUGAAAAAUUAGAGUGUUUAAAGCAGGCUCACGCUUGAAUACAUUAGCAUGGAAUAACGAAAUAGGACGUUUGAUUCUAUUUUGUUGGUUUCUAGGAUCGACGUAAUGAUUAAUAGGGAUAGUUGGGGGCAUUAGUAUUCAAUUGUCAGAGGUGAAAUUCUUGGAUUUAUUGAAGACUAACUACUGCGAAAGCAAUUUGCCAAGGAUGUUUUCAUUAAUCAAGAACGAAAGUUAGGGGAUACGGAAGACGAUCAGAUACCGUCGUAGUCUUAACCAUAAACUAUGACCGACUAGGGAUCGGAUGAUGUUAAUUUUUAUGUACUCAUUCGGCGCCUU
rnacentral:rRNA from 1 species